UACGAAGGGGGCUAGCGUUGUUCGGAAUCACUGGGCGUAAAGGGCGCGUAGGCGGCUUUAUAAGUCGGGGGUGAAAGCCUGUGGCUCAACCACAGAAUUGCCUUCGAUACUGUAGAGCUUGAGACCGGAAGAGGUAAGUGGAACUGCGAGUGUAGAGAUGAAAUUCGUAGAUAUUCGCAAGAACACCAGUGGCGAAGGCGGCUUACUGGUCCGGUUCUGACGCUGAGGCGCGAAAGCGUGGGGAGCAAACAGG
rnacentral:rRNA from 1 species